ACGCUGGCGGCGUGCCUAACACAUGCAAGUCGAACGGUAACAGGUCCUUCGGGACGCUGACGAGUGGCGCACGGGUGAGUAACGCGUGGAUAUCUGCCUAUUAGUGGGGGACAACUACGGGAAACCGUAGCUAAUACCGCAUAAGCUCUACGGAGGAAAGCAGGGGACCCCUCGGGGCCUUGCGCUGAUAGAUGAGUCCGCGUCUGAUUAGCUAGUUGGUAAGGUAAUGGCUUACCAAGGCGAUGAUCAGUAACUGGUUUGAGAGGAUGAUCAGUCACACUGGAACUGAGACACGGUCCAGACUCCUACGGGAGGCAGCAGUGGGGAAUAUUGCACAAUGGGCGAAAGCCUGAUGCAGCGACGCCGCGUGCGGGAAGAAGGCCUUCGGGUUGUAAACCGCUUUCAAUUGGGAAGAAGAGAUGAGGGCUAAUAUCCCUCUGAUUUGACGGUACCUUUAGAAGAAGCACCGGCUAAUUUCGUGCCAGCAGCCGCGGUAAUACGAAAGGUGCAAGCGUUGUUCGGAUUUACUGGGCGUAAAGAGAUCGUAGGUGGCUUGUUAAGUCGGAUGUGAAAUCCCGGGGCUCAACCCCGGAACUGCAUUCGAUACUGGCAGGCUAGAGUUUGGGAGGGGUAAGCGGAAUUCCGUGUGUAGCAGUGAAAUGCGUAGAUAUACGGAGGAACACCUGAGGCGAAGGCGGCUUACUGGACCAAUACUGACACUGAGGAUCGAAAGCGUGGGUAGCAAACAGGAUUAGAUACCCUGGUAGUCCACGCCCUAAACGAUGUCAACUAGCCGUUGCGGGUAUCGACCCCUGCAGUGGCGAAGCUAACGCGAUAAGUUGACCGCCUGGGGAGUACGGUCGCAA
rnacentral:rRNA from 1 species